GGAAUGAUUGGGCGUAAAGCGUCCGCAGGUGGCUAUGUAAGUCUGCUGUUAAAGAGUGAGGCUCAACCUCAUAAGAGCAGUGGAAACUACAUGGCUAGAGUGCGUUCGGGGCAGAGGGAAUUCCUGGUGUAGCGGUGAAAUGCGUAGAUAUCAGGAAGAACACCGGUGGCGAAAGCGCUCUGCUAGGCCGCAACUGACACUGAGGGACGAAAGCUAGGGGAGCGAAUGGG
rnacentral:rRNA from 1 species